UCAGAACUGCUUGGGGUGGAUCUGAUAUUAGGAAGGUAACUUUCAAGGCUUUCAUGCUGGCCGGCACGCCAAGAUUGGAAGGCUAGCGCUGGGAGAUUUUAUUGGAAUGUAAUAUUUACCGAUUCCGUGUGAAAAUAAACUUGGGAACGCCCGUCAACCCGUCAUUGAGAAAUAAAUAGGAAAAAUGCAUCUUAAGACUCGUAUACGGUAUAUUUCUCCAAAGAGAUACGGAUAAUAUUCCUCGGAUCGGAU
rnacentral:lncRNA from 1 species